rnacentral:rRNA from 1 species
CCUACGGGGAGCAGCAGUGGGGAAUAUUGCACAAUGGGGGGAACCCUGAUGCAGCAACGCCGCGUGGGUGAAGAAGUACUUCGGUAUGUAAAGCCCUGUCAGCAGGGAAGAAAAUGACGGUACCUGACCAAGAAGCCCCGGCUAACUACGUGCCAGCAGCCGCGGUAAUACGUAGGGGGCAAGCGUUAUCCGGAUUUACUGGGUGUAAAGGGAGCGUAGACGGCAAGGCAAGUCUGGAGUGAAAGCCCGUGGCUCAACCACGGGACUGCUUUGGAAACUGUGUUGCUGGAGUGCAGGAGGGGUAAGCGGAAGUCCUAGUGUAGCGGUGAAAUGCGUAGAUAUUAGGAGGAACACCGGUGGCGAAGGCGGCUUACUGGACUGUAACUGACGUUGAGGCUCGAAGGCGUGGGGAGCAAACAGGAUUAGAUACCCCAGUAGUC